GACGAACGCUGGCGGCGCGCCUAACACAUGCAAGUCGAACGGAGUCAAGAUGAGCUUGCUUUUUUUGACUUAGUGGCGAACGGGUGAGUAACGCGUGUGUCACCUGCCCUGCUGUGGGGGACAAUAGUUGGAAUCGUCUUCUAAUACCGCAUAAGCUCACGCAUCCUCAUGGAUCUUCGGGAAUUUGGUUUAUUCGCUUCAGGAUGGACUCUUGUCCAAUUAGUUAGUUGGUGAGGUAACGGCCCACCAAGGCGAGGUUUCGUAGCCGUGAUGAGUGGUUGAAAGGCCAGAAUGGGACUGAGACACAGACCAGACUGCUACGGGAGGCAGGAGUAGAGGAUAUUGCACAAUGGAGGAAAACCUGAUGAAGCGACGCCGCGGGGAGGAAGAAGGUGUUCGGAAAGUAAACUCCUGUCGGAAGAGACGAGAAUGACGGUACCUAAUAAGAAAGCACCGGCUAACUACGUG
rnacentral:rRNA from 1 species